GAUGAACGCUGGCGGCGUGCCUAAUACAUGCAAGUCGAGCGAACAGACGAGGAGCUUGCUCCUCUGACGUUAGCGGCGGACGGGUGAGUAACACGUGGAUAACCUACCUAUAAGACUGGGGUAACUUCGGGAAACCGGAGCUAAUACCGGAUAAUAUAUAGAACCGCAUGGUUCAAUAGUGAAAGACGGUUUUGCUGUCACUUAUAGAUGGAUCCGCGCCGCAUUAGCUAGUUGGUAAGGUAACGGCUUACCAAGGCAACGAUGCGUAGCCGACCUGAGAGGGUGAUCGGCCACACUGGAACUGAGACACGGUCCAGACUCCUACGGGAGGCAGCAGUAGGGAAUCUUCCGCAAUGGGCGAAAGCCUGACGGAGCAACGCCGCGUGAGUGAUGAAGGUCUUCGGAUCGUAAAACUCUGUUAUUAGGGAAGAACAAAUGUGUAAGUAACUAUGCACGUCUUGACGGUACCUAAUCAGAAAGCCACGGCUAACUACGUG
rnacentral:rRNA from 1 species